UAGGAAUUCGUCUGAACAAAA
rnacentral:piRNA from 1 species